GGUGAAUGGAAGGCGAAGGGGCACAGAUUUGGCCUCCCACACGCGGCAGGCGCAUGCGCUGCCUUGAGACUCACCACCACUUAAUAUCCAAUAAGAUCAUGUAUUAUCAUUAAAUAACAUUGAAGUUGUAAAACGCUACUACUAGAUAAAUCAGAUAACACGCCAACCCUAACGUCCAAUUCGUCUCUCGUCUCUUCUUCCUUCCAACCAUGGAUAUGAGAAAACCUUUUCUGAACCCUCAUCCUGGAUCUAUGAACGAAGUCUACAGGAUCUCAACAUAUUCACAAUUCGUCCUAAACCUAAAACCUAAAUCGAAGCAAACAAACAACUAUCCCUACACUAUAGAUUCAAUCAUAUGCUAACGAAACCUAAUGAUUUCAAAAACCAAAAACAAAUAAACAAAUCUAAACGGUACGGUAAAGAGUAAUGGUACGCGCAACAUUUAUACAAAAGGAUAUGCAAAUCAACAAGGAGUGAGGCAAUAUGAAGCUCGCCGGUGGUGUAAUCCAACCUUGAGGUGUGUCGCUUUCUCCUCCUUUUCUUCCUUUCGCCCUUUUAUGCUCUUCACCUCUUCUCCUUCCUCUUGGCUCAAGCUGUAAUGGUCUGUUUUUCAACUAAUCCGGAUUUCUGAGUAACGGUGCCGAAAAAUCCUCUCCCCUGCACUGAUUGGAAGGCUCCUUAUAUAGAACAAAAACGGUUGGUUUUCGAAUCAUGAGCUGGCAAAGAUCGCAGAAUCAAAACCCGAUAAAAUACCAUCUCCCUUAAAUUUUGUGGGGACUGAUUUAUCUUGGAUUCGAAUCGUGGAAACCACAGAGAACUCAUUUGUUACCGCAAUGUGGCAACAUCCUCCCAGGACUCGGGUGGUCCCCCCGAUAUUUGGUAUGAUUUAUUUAAUUUUGAAAUAAGUGAGUAUCUGUCAAUAUUUAUUUUAAGUACUUCAGAUAUUAUUUGGUGUUGUAACUUAGCUCUCUUUAAAUCCUUGACCUUAAUUGAAAUUUCAAUCUUUUUGUCUUCAUUGCUAAUAUGGAUCUUGGCUUGGAUUAUUAUUAUGAAAAUUGCAAGAUAUUUAUUGAACAUGUCUUGAUGUUUGGUUAUUCUUUGAUGACAUGAAUAUUGGUUUGGUUCGGCAUGUGGUUGCUGCAAGUUUCAUUGCUACUGAUGCAUUACAGGGUCCUUUUACGAACUCAUACGCUGAUACAAGUUGGCCAAUUCUCCAUGUUGCAAGUUGGAUUCCAUGGUUAUGCCUGCUAGGUCCAUAGUCACGUCGAACAUGUUAUCUCACCAAAGGUUUCCUCAUCCAUUGGCUUGUAUUUCAAGGUCCUGCAGCGGGCUUGUGACAGGUUUUGGUUAUGGAUUGGGUAGCUUGAUUUUUCUGGUUUAUGUUUCAGGGUGUGUGUAUCAUUGAGCAUUUUUGGCCAAGGCUUCAAAUGAAGCUCGGCUCAUGUCCUGGUUGUUGCUCCACAUUUGGUUCAAAAGGGUUGCUUUCAAUAUUGUACAUAGCCCCAAUUUGUGUCUAAAAUUCUUCAUCUUGCUCAGUAGUCAACGACACCAUACCAAGAUGAUCCGCCAGAUAUUGUUUGUCUUCUCAGAGAUCUAAUUCGGUUCCAUACAGUACAACAGGAACGCCUGGAGCAAAAAGCUGGAACUCAAAGACCCACUUCGUUGAACACCAAUCUCGUAACUGUCAAGACUAAUCAACAGAAAAACCCAAGGCGAGAACGUCCUUUCCUGUAGCUCAAAGGCCUUAACCUAUUGUAAUCCUCUUGCCUGGUUGUAUCCCAUAGGCCUAACUUGACAGUUAUGCCUUCAAUCCCUAUUUGCACUAAAAAUGCCGAACACUGUAGGAAUAUAGUUGGCGGAAAAUUUGUUGCCAGUGUAGCAACUUCGUUCUUGGACUCUCCUUUUUCAACUUACUAAGAAUGUGUGGUUGUUUUCUCAAUUGUGCAGGUUGCAAUAUGCUUAUUUAAGACGUGGCUUGUAACUUUUUGAAGAAAAGAGCACAAGGAGUCUGUUAUGGUCAGAUGAUCCGCUGUUUCCGGCUUGACAUAAAAUUACGUAUUUGGAUCCUAGGCAAGGAUUUUCCUUUUUACACCUUGUAAAUGGCCGUAACUCACAUUUGUAAUAAGUAUGAUUAAGAGAUGGAAUUGUUACAUAUGGACAUUUAUGUAUGAAUUUUCUAACUAUGUGUGUUCCUAUAUGCUUGAAUCUUGUUUGAAACAUUUGGAGUAAACAUGAACAUGUUCAUUGUGGGUAAACACGCCCUAGUUGACUUUGUAGGUAUGGUAUGAACAAGUAUAUCUGCCCUUUUUUUGAAAUCAGAGUGAAAGCAGGUAGACAUGGAACAAGAUGGACUAGAUUUAUGUUAACCAAUGUAGGUUCGUGGAGUAGGGUCAAUGAAUUGAUCGGAAGUCAACUGUUUGUAAAACUAGGCAAACUUGCAAUUCUUUAUGUACAUGGACCUUGGAUAAUCAAUACGUAAAUGAAAUUUUGGUAUUUUGAUGAUUGUUUA